rnacentral:ncRNA from 1 species
CCCCCAUUAUCUUUCAGUGAUUCCGCCAAGUUUCGAUGAAAGAUUAUGGGGGUUUUCCUUU